rnacentral:rRNA from 1 species
UACGUAGGGUGCGAGCGUUAAUCGGAAUUACUGGGCGUAAAGUGUGCGCAGGCGGCUGAGCAAGUCGAGUGUGAAAGCCCCGGGCUUAACUUGGGAAUUGCGCUCGAAACUACUUGGCUUGAGUGUGGCAGAGGAAGGUGGAAUUCCACGUGUAGCGGUGAAAUGCGUAGAGAUGUGGAAGGAACACCGAUGGCGAAGGCAGCCUUCUGGGCCAACACUGACGCUCAUGCACGAAAGCGUGGGGAGCAAACAGG